rnacentral:misc_RNA from 1 species
AGUCGUAACAAGGUAUCCGUAGGUGAACCUGCGGAUGGAUCAUUAACAAAGGUGUUUUUGAAGUUGUGUGAACAGUUGGAGGUGGUGGUGGUGGUGGUGGUAUUGGGUGGUACUGGGUGGUAUUGGGUGGUAUUGGGUGUGUUUGUGGGUGGUGUAACCUUGGUCUAACCUUGGUCAACCUCACUCAACCUCACUCAACCUCACUCUCCCAACCUCACUCUCCCAACCUCACUCUCCCAACCUCACUCUCCCAACCUCACUCUCCCAACCUCCACCACUCCGUCCCUAUAAUGUAUACAAACUGAUGUCUGCUAGUUUCAAACUAAAACAACUUUUAGCAACGGAUCUCUUGGCUCUC